rnacentral:rRNA from 1 species
GGCAGCAGCUAAGAAUAUUCCGCAAUGGACGAAAGUCUGACGGAGCGACGCCGCGUGGAUGAUGAAGGCCGUGAGGUUGUAAAAUCCUUUUAUAACAGAGGAAUAAGCAGAAGAGUGGAAUGCUUCUGUGGUGACUGUAAGUUAUGAAUAAGCACCGGCUAAUUACGUGCCAGCAGCCGCGGUAACACGUAAGGUGCGAGCGUUGUUCGGAAUUAUUGGGCGUAAAGGGCAUGUAGGCGGUCUGGCAAGCUUGGUGUGAAAUCCCGGGGCUUAACCCCGGAACUGCAUUGAGAACUACUGGACUAGAAUCACUGAGGGGGAGCCGGAAUUCCAGGUGUAGGGGUGAAAUCUGUAGAUAUCUGGAAGAACACCAAUGGCGAAGGCAGGCUUCUAGCAGAUGAUUGACGCUGAGGUGCGAAGGUGCGGGGAGCAAACAGGAUUAGAUACCCUGGUAGUCCGCACAGUAAACUAUGUACACUGGGUGUCCGGCCAUGAGGCUGGGUGCCGAAGCAAACGCGAUAAGUGUACCGCCUGGGGAGUAUGCCCGCAAGGGUGAAACUCAAAGGAAUUGACGG